CAGCAGCCGCGGGAAUACGGAGGGGGCUAGCGUUGUUCGGAAUUACUGGGCGUAAAGCGCACGUAGGCGGCUUGGUAAGUUAGAGGUGAAAGCCUGGAGCUCAACUCCAGAAUUGCCUUUAAGACUGCCGAGCUAGCAGGUGAGAGAGGUAAGUGGAAUUCCGAGUGUAGAGGUGAAAUUCGUAGAUAUUCGGAAGAACACCAGUGGCGAAGGCGGCUUACUGGCUCAUACUGGACGCUGAGGUGCGAAAGCGUGGGGAGCAAACAGGAUUAGAUACCCGCGUAGUCCCUGUCUCUUAUAC
rnacentral:rRNA from 1 species